CUCUCUCGUCACAGAACAAUUUGCAUUGCACGCUGGGCUAACCUUGCUUGUCGGCUUGCCACCCCUAUUUUUAGUCUCUGCAGAGCAGCACAGAGUUGCCAUAUUGCAGUGGCCACGACACGGAUCGGCGUUACAAAGCAGCCUCCAUUCAUUAGCUAUUUCCAACUGCGGGUAAGAGCCGCAUUUGGGCCACCUAAGGUUCUUCUAUAUAUUGGAAGUACCUCUCGCCUUGGCUGAUAAAUAGACCAGUCUGUGUGCAAGAAUGAGAUGGUUCUCCGUCGUGCUUGUUGCCCUUCUGACAGCGUCUCUGGUCCUGUGCUUCCGAAGGCGUAUCCAGUUGCCUUUUGAAGGCCUUCGCAAUGCCGGCUGCCCUAAUUCCACCAUCUGCAAUCACAUCUGUGAGGUACUGGGCUACAAUAGUGGAGAAUGCACGGGACCUGACAUGCUCCACUGUGUGUGCGAAUUCUAGAUGGCGACCGGCACGGUGUGAAAGGCUGACUUUCGCAGGAGCAUCAAAACAUGAUUUGCAAUGAAUAAUUACACCGCAUGGGAACCUGUGAAAAACUGAUUAUA